UCUGUACGGGCAAACAUACCCCCUAUUUACAAGCUGCAAUUUUCAAUCGUCCAGACAGCUCUCUUUCACUCGGUCUCUCGCUUCCCUCUCUCUCACUCCGGUCGUCUUUGUCUUCCUUCAUCAUUUUCGAAGACGCCAGACAUCCACCUCAUGCAAUACAGUGCAUGAGGAAUUCGUCGCCGUUACCCACCCAUCUGUAUAGAUGUCGCAGUUAAUCACUCGUUGUCGGAGUAUGACCAAUGUGCCUCUUGAUUGAGGAUGUCAUUGUAUACGAGGAUCCAGGUUUUCAGAUCCUGAAUGAGGUCUUGGAUCAGAAGUUCGGUCGUCGUCAUGGCAUUGUUCGGUGUAUGGGGAAGGUGCGGGUUCAUGAGACGGGUGCCUCCUUUUCCAGAUCGACCACAUGAGAGGUAAAUGCCCUGAAGGAGGAAGUGACAACCCUAAAAGGUCAGCUUGCGGCCCAGGGUGAGCAGAUGAGUAUUAUUGUAUGGGCCUUACAGAUGUUUGACCUCCAAAUCUCGAUGCCAGCACCUAAUCUUGCUCCACCUUCGACCUCCCAGCCACUUCGCCCAGCUAAUACCCAGUAGCCUAAUGUAUCAAACCUAGAAGACCACUUGUAGUGUUUUUCUUUUUUGUUCGGACAUCUUGUAUGUACUUUGCGUGAUGCAUGUUACUUCUUCGUCGCACAAACCCUGCUUUCACUACCUUGGCACGACGGUUGGUGUGCGAUGAAGGUUUCAUUGGGUUAAUUUUUUGUGCGACGUUUUUUGACUUUGAUCGACGAAGGACCUAUGUCGUGCAAACUGUUUUUUGUACUAGUGAACGUGAUUGUUCAAGAAAAUUUGAAAGGGUACUUGGAUGUCUAUAUAAAUCAAACGGUAGGAUGGAGAUUUUAUACA
rnacentral:sRNA from 1 species